GCAUGGCAGACGGGUGAGUAACGCGUGGGGAAUCUACCUCUUUGUGGGGAAUAACGCUCCGAAAGGAGUGGUAAUACCGCAUGAGAUCCAUGGCUGGGAUGCUGUGGAUGAAACCUGGGGACCGCAAGGCCUGGGGCAAGGAGAGGAUCCUGCGUCUGAUUAGCUAGUUGGUGAGGUAAUGGCCCACCAAGGCGACGAUCAGUAGCCGGCCUGAGAGGGUGAUCGGCCACACUGGAACUGAGACACGGUCCAGACUCCUACGGGAGGCAGCAGUGGGGAAUUUUGCGCAAUGGGCGAAAGCCUGACGCAGCAACGCCGCGUGGGUGAUGAAGGUCUUCGGAUCGUAAAACCUUGUCGUCGGGGACGAAGGUGGAGGGGUUAAUAGCCUCUUUGCUUGACGGUACCCGGAGAGGAAGCCCCGGCCAACUCUGUGCCAGCAGCCGCGGUAAUACAGAGGGGGCAAGCGUUAUUCGGAAUUAUUGGGCGUAAAGGGCGCGUAGGCGGCUUUUUAAGUGAGAUGUGUAAUCCCUGAGCUCAACUUGGGAACUGCAUCUCAUA
rnacentral:rRNA from 1 species